rnacentral:ncRNA from 1 species
CAUAGGUUUGGUCCCAGCCUUCCUGUUAACUCUUAAUAAACUUACACAUGCAAGCAUCCGCAUCCCGGUGAGAAUGCCCUCUAGGUCAACAAAACUAAGAGGAGCGGGCAUCAAGCACACACCUGUAGCUCACGACGCCUUGCUUAACCACACCCCCACGGGAAACAGCAGUGACAAAAAUUAAGCCAUAAACGAAAGUUUGACUAAGUUAUAUUAACUAAGGGUUGGUAAAUCUCGUGCCAGCCACCGCGGUCAUACGAUUAACCCAAGCUAACAGGAGUACGGCGUAAAAUGUGUUAAAGCACACCGCUAAAUAGAGUUAAAUUUUAAUUAAGCCGUAAAAAGCCAUAAUUUCAAUAAAAAUAAGCAACGAAAGUGACUCUAUAACAGCUGACACACUAUAGCUAAGACCCAAACUGGGAUUAGAUACCCCACUAUGCUUAGCCCUAAACACAAAUAAUUAUAUUAACAAAAUUAUUCGCCAGAGUACUACCGGCAACAGCCUAAAACUCAAAGGACUUGGCGGUGCUUUAUAUCCCUCUAGAGGAGCCUGUUCUAUAAUCGAUAAACCCCGAUAGACCUCACCAAUUCUUGCUAAUGCAGUCUAUAUACCGCCAUCUUCAGCGAACCCUAAAAAGGUACAAAAGUAAGCGCAAUCACAACGCAUAAAAACGUUAGGUCAAGGUGUAACCUAUGAAAUGGGAAGAAAUGGGCUACAUUUUCUACACCAAGAACACCCAACACGAAAGUUAUUAUGAAAAUUAAUAACCAAAGGAGGAUUUAGCAGUAAACUAAGAAUAGAGUGCUUAGUUGAACUAGGCCAUGAAGCACGCACACACCGCCCGUCACCCUCCUCAAGUAAAUACAAUGCACCUAACCCUAUUUAAAUGCACUAACCACAUGAGAGGAGAUAAGUCGUAACAAGGUAAGCAUACUGGAAAGUGUGCUUGGAUAAAU